UACGUAGGGUGCAAGCGUUGUCCGGAAUUAUUGGGCGUAAAGAGCUCGUAGGCGGUCUGUCGCGUCGGAUGUGAAAAUCCAGGCUCAACCCUGGACCUGCAUUCGAUACGGGCAGACUAGAGUUCGGCAGGGGAGACUGGAAUUCCUGGUGUAGCGGUGAAAUGCGUAGAUAUCAAGAGGAACACCAGUGGCGAAGGCGAGUCCCUGGACAACACCUGACACUGAGGCACGAAAGCUAGGGGAGCAAACAGG
rnacentral:rRNA from 1 species